GCGGUAAUUCCAGCUCCAAUAGCGUAUAUGUAAAUUGCUGCGGUUGAAACGCUCGUAGUUGGACUUCUGCUUAUGGAAUUCUGUCCGUUUCGACGAGUACGGAAUUCUAUGAGUGUUUUUGUCGACGGGUUUCAUCGGGCUUAACUGCUUGUUGAUUUUCUGUCGGCGUUGUUACUUUGAGGAAAUCAGAGUGCUCAAAGCAAGCAUUCGCUCGUGACUUCACUAGCAUGGAAUAACACAGAUGGGCUCUGUCUCGCAACGUUGGUCUGCGUCAAUUGAGCAACGAUCGAUAGAGACGGUCGGGGGCAUUCGUAUUGCGCAGUUAGAGGUGAAAUUCUCCGAUCUGCGUAAGACGCACUAGUGCGAAAGCAAUUGCCAAGGACGUUCUCUUAUGAUCAAGAGCGAAAGUCGGGGGAUCAAAGAUGAUUAGAUACCGUCGUAGUCCCGACCAUAAAUGAUGCCGACUGAGCGUCGGUGACUCGGCUUAUGCCGGACAUCGGCGCUCUUGAGAGAAAUUAAAGUCUUUGGGCUCCGGGGGUAGUAUGGUCGCAAGUCUGAAACUUGAAGGAAUUGACGGAAGGGCACCACAAGGCGUGGAUGUUGCGGCUUAAUUUGACUCAACACGGGAAAGCUUACUAGGUUUGGACACUUGAAUGAGGGACAUAUUGAAGCUCUUACCUUAUCUUGUGGAUGGUGGUGCAUGGUCGUUCUCAGCCCGUGGGUUGACCUGUCAGGUUUACUCCGGUAACGCGCGAGACCUCGGUUUGCUAAAUAGACGUGGCUGUUUCUGCACCCACGUUCUUCUUAGAGAGAGACUCAUCGAGAGAUGAGGGAAGUCGAGGCAAUAACAGAUCUGUGAUGCCCUUAGUUAUCCUAGGUCGCACGCGCCAUACAAUGUGGUGCACAACGAGUUUCCUUGGCCGAUAGGACAGGGCAAUCUGUGAGAGCGCUACGUGACUGGGCUAGACUUUUGUAAUUGUUGGUCUUGAACGAGGAAUGCCUAGUAAUCGCAGGUCAUUAUCCUGUGAUGAUUAUGUCCCUGCCCUUUGUACACACCGCCCGUCGCUCCUGCCGUGGCCCGUGCCGGUGAAGAGGGGGAGGCAGCGUCGACAGGGUAAAACCGGCUCGUACGUGGAACCCCUCUGAACCUUCGCGAGUAGAGGAAGGAGAAGUCGUAACAAGGUUUUCGUAGGUGAACCUGCGAAAGGAUCAUUA
rnacentral:rRNA from 1 species